rnacentral:rRNA from 1 species
AAGACCUUGCGCUUUUGGAGCGGCCGAUGUCUGAUUAGCUAGUUGGUGGGGUAAUGGCCUACCAAAGCUUCGAUCAGUAGCUGGUCUGAGAGGACGGCCAGCCACACUGGGACUGAGACACGGCCCAGACUCCUACGGGAGGCAGCAGUGGGGAAUUUUGGACAAUGGGCGCAAGCCUGAUCCAGCCAUGCCGCGUGAGUGAAGAAGGCCUUCGGGUUGUAAAGCUCUUUCAGCCGGGAAGAAAAGGCUGCGACUAAUAAUCGCAGUUCAUGACGGUACCGGAAGAAGAAGCACCGGCUAACUACGUGCCAGCAGCCGCGGUAAUACGCAGGGUGCGAGCGUUAAUCGGAAUUACUGGGCGUAAAGGGUGCGCAGGCGGUUUUGUAAGUCAGAUGUGAAAUCCCCGGGCUUAACCUGGGAACU